ensembl:lncRNA
CUGUAAUUCGAUUCUUGAUGUAACAUUUUAGGGCUGACCAAUUUCGUUUUUUAAUUUCAAUUUCAAGGCACUUAUCAGUCAGUUUUUGCAGAAACACGACAUUAAGUGAUGAAGCACAUCAUGUGCUUCUCUACAGCGACGAUCUCCUCAGUCUCCCACAUCCUUCUCUGGAAUGGUUGGCGACCUGCACGACAAUUAGCGUAAUUAUUCGAUGACAAAUGAUGUUGAAGUCCCAGAGACAGCCAUUUGUCCCCCUGCCUACAAGAUGAGGCUACAAGUCCCAGAGACACUGUCUGGGGUUGCGUGGGAGGGCAUCAUGGGACAGGCCCAGCAUACAUUGAACUUUGUCAAUCCAUAAAACAGAACUUCACACAAGACAACAGGACACAAGGCGUAAUGGAGAAAAAUCAGUGGGACCUGAAAAAUAUUCGGUUGCAGAGGACACUGACAAGGCUGGACGACUUUGUUCGGAUUUAUGAGAAAAUGCUUAAUGCACUUCUUGAAUAUGGAGACACAGAAAGGACAAGAAAAGAAGUAAGAAUUUAGUUCAAUUCAAACCAAUAACAUCAUCACUUGAUUUAAUUUCAGAAACGUUGUACUAUAGUAUAAUGUUAUGUAUUAAAAUAUUCCUAUCUUUUCAAGUCCUUUUGAGUAGAAAUGGAAAUCAGAAGGGAGUCUACUCCCUUUCAAACAACUGAAAAGCAAGGUAUUUAUUAAAAGGCCCAAUGAGAUAAGAGAUAUUUUCAAUAUAUGUUGAGGUUGUCAUUGUUUUGUUUUUUAAAUGACACCCCUGGAAAAAUGAUAUUUGUGAUUGUUUUUCCAUCCAUUUUCUUUUCUUUUUUUCAAAAGUAUGAAAUGUUUCAAGAAAUAGCUGAG